AUGCUAGUCACCACCACUCGCUCCCGCGCGAGAUGCAGGAGAGCGCACACGAGGCAGCCGCAGUUCGGCCUCUCCAUCUUCUCCGGCCGCUGCAAACCAUGGUGGAAGGUGGGCGGACGAGCUCCUCUCCAUCUUCUCCGCCCGCUGCGGGGAGAGAAGGUUACGGGCAGGUCGAGAUGGAGCAACGCCGGUCGCCUCCGGAUGCGGCGGCUCUAG
rnacentral:rRNA from 1 species